CUUCACUCACUGGAAAGUGGAUGCUGUGCUGGCCCCUUGCACCUCCAAGGCAGGAAGCACCUUCCUGGAAGUGACUCUGAGGUCACACUCUGCAUGGGCUCCUUCCUGGGCAGGACCGCAGGGUCCUCAUUGUGCCCAUGCCUCCAAGGCCAUCUUCAACUUGCAACUUUAAAGAAAUUUAUCCUCUGCCUCUCUUUUUGUCUUUUAAAAGCCUGGAUAUCAGCCUUUAUUUUUUUUUUUAAGUUACAUCUUCCCCUAAACACCCAUGAAAAAUCUAGGCUGUUGAGAACCUUGUCAGUCCUUUCCCCAUCCCAGCCGUGGAAUUCUGUGGAAACCAGCAAGAGGCCAGGAGUGGUUGGUGGUGGGCAGCCAUGGUGGGCUUGGACCUGGGUUGUGCUUCUGGGUUUCUGCUAGUCAACAUGGGCUUGGUCCUCUGAUUCUCAUCUCAGUUCCUGGUGCCUCAGGCUUCCCCAUGUUGGGGACCCUGUGGAGGCCUGUGCCCCAAGUGUGUCUGGGCUCGAGCUGUGGAGCACAGGUCCUACCGUGUGCUUGGCCUACUGCUCAAGAUGAUUCGAAGCUUAAGUCGAAGGUCAGCCAGGGAAGCCUCCACAGUGCCUCGUACCCUUCAGGUGACCGGAUGACACAGACACAGGCUGGGCUCCCACCUCAGGGCCACAGGCUGCUCCCACACUAACCCCAGCUGAGGGAAUCACUCAUCGGGCUGUUGAGAGCCACGGACAAUUCGAGAUGGCCUCUGGCACUUUGCCAGAAGGAGUGGUUUGAGAAGUAACGCCAGCGAGCCAUUAAGAUGAUGGAGGUUCCUUAAUGACUGACUGCUGUGUCUAGAUUAUGUCAAUUAAGUUAAGCUGUGUGUCAUCAUAAGAUGAUGAGGAUUCCUUACUGGUUGACUGCUGUACCUAGUUUAUGUUGAUUAAGUUAAGCUGUGUGUCAUUAGUUGGGUAUAUAUACUUCUCUGUCCCGUAAUAAAGCGGCUCCCGCUGUGUCAACCUU
rnacentral:lncRNA from 1 species